AUUGAACGCUGGCGGCAGGCCUAACACAUGCAAGUCGAGCGGAUGAAGGGAGCUUGCUCCUGGAUUCAGCGGCGGACGGGUGAGUGAUGCCUAGGAAUCUGCCUGUCUGCUGGGGAUAACGUCCGGAAAAAGGGAGACAUACGCUAAUACCUCAUACGGCCUAAGGGGGGGAUCCUUGGAACUUCGGCCCUUGCGCGAUUCAAUGUGCGGAUGUCGGAUUAGCUAGUUGGAGGGGUAAAGGCCCACCAAGGCGACGAUCCGUAGCUGGUCUGAGAGGAUGAUCAGUCACACUGGAACUGAGACACGGUCCAGACUCCUACGGGAGGCAGCAGUGGGGAAUAUUGGACAAUGGGCGAAAGCCUGAUCCAGCCAUGCCGCGUGUGUGAAGAAGGUCUUCGGAUUGUAAAGCACUUUUGGUGGGGAGGAAGGGCAGUAAGUUAAUACCUUGCUGUUCUGACGGUACCCACAGAAUAAGCACCGGCUAACUUCGUG
rnacentral:rRNA from 1 species